rnacentral:rRNA from 1 species
AGUGAACGCUGGCGGCGGGCCUAAUACAUGCAAGUCGAACGGCCGCACAGUAAGAGUUCGUUUUUACGGUUGGCGAGUGACGGACGGGUGAGAAAUGCAUCGGAUACCUCUAAUACGUGGGUAACUACGUUGGGCCACUGCCAAUACCACCUAAUAUUUCCUACGGGAGGAUGCAAGAGAGAAUCACACUUUUCGUGUUAGUGAGAGACGAUGUCGCAUUAGCUAGUUGGCGAGGUAAAGUCACACCAAGGCGACGAAACGUAGCUGGUCUGAGAGGAUGAUCCGCCACACUGGAACUGAGACACGGUCCAGACUCCUACGGAAGGCAGCAGUGGGGAAUAUUGCACAAUGGGCGAAAGCCUGAUCGAGCAAUACCGCGUGAGUGAUGAAGGUCUUCGGGUUGUAAAACUCUUUUAUUAGGGAAGAACAUCUGCAUAUGAAACCCUGCAUAUUCUGACGGUACCCAAAGAGAAAGCCCCGGCUAACUUCGUG